rfam:Schistosoma margrebowiei strain Zambia genome assembly, scaffold: SMRZ_contig0003048
UUUCAGCUGACGAGUCCUAAAUAGGACGAAUAGCGCGUCCUGGAU